GCUCUGCAGUUCAACUUCUCAAAAUGAGAUUCUCUGCUCAGCUCCUGGGGCUGCUGAUGCUCUGGGUCCCUGGAUGCAAUGGAGAUAUUGUGAUGACUCAGACUGCACACUCUCUGCCCGUCACCCUUGGAGAGCCAGCCUCCAUCUCCUGCAGGUCUAGUCAGAGCCUGCUGCACAGUGAUGGAAACACCUAUUUGAGUUGGUACCUGCAGAAACCAGGCCAUUCUCCACAGGGCCUGAUCUAUAAGGUUUCCAACCGGUUUUCUGGGGUCCCAGACAGAUUCAGUGGCAGCGGGUCAGGGACAGAUUUCACACUGAAAAUCAGCAGAGUGGAGGCUGAGGAUGUUGGAGUUUACUACUGCAUGCAAUACACACAAUGGCCUCGGACGUUUGGUCAAGGGACCAAGGUGGAAAUCAAACGGGAUGUGGCUAAGCCUGAUGCCACCAUCUUCCCACCACAUUCGGAGCAGUUGCAGACAGGAGACGCCACUCUUUUGUGCUUGGUGAACGGCUUCUACCCAAAAGACGUAACUAUCAAGUGGAAGGCGGAUGGUGUCCCCCAGACAGCUAAUGUCCAGAACAGUCUCACAGAGCAGGACAGCAAGGACAGCACCUACAACCUCGCCAGCAUGAUGACGAUGAGCAGUUCAGACUAUCUUAGGCACAAAAAUUUUGAAUGUGAGAUCAGCCAUUCGAGCAUGAGCUUGCCCCUCAUCAAGAGCUUUAAUACGAAUGAAUGUUAGAGGGAGAAGCCUUGCAGGACCCCCCCCCAACUUCUCAUGCCCAGCCCUGCCUCCGGCCCUCCUUCGACCUCAAGCCCUUUUUUUUCUGUAGGGGACCUACCCCUAUUGUUUCCCUCACCCUCCUCCCCACACCUCAUGCCCCCUUCUCUUCUUUGGCUUUAA